rnacentral:lncRNA from 1 species
GCGUAAUAAACCACUGGAGCUGAAGGGAAAGCAUUAAGGUGUCUCUUCUCCGACGAACAUGUGAACACGGCGGCGUCAGAAAUAGGCGGAGGCGGAUGAUGGCCAACACCGCCUAGCCUUGUGUACCGCACGGGAAAAAAAAAAAAAAAAAAAAAAAGCUAGGAUUUUACCAAUAUAGUCUUGUAAGGAGGAAGAGGAGGCAAGUGAAAACCACAGUCUGAAGAAUUGCGAACUUUUGUUAUGUAUUUACAGAGUUAUUUGUGAUUUUAUUGUUUAACAUGACAGGAGGCUGUAAAAGUUGGGCGGGGAGCAGUGUCAUUAGGCUCACUACACCUGCCUGUCCUGCCAACCCCGCCACUCACCACCAACAGUCUACACAUGCCACUCUCCCAGUAAUGAGCACCACACCCCACAACUGAAAGCCCUGCAGAAAGUACGUCGAUUCUGGCGCCCGACGUCGGCAUCCUCGGCUAUUGAUGGAGCAUUUCAUGGCCCUGCCCUUCCACCGCAAUGCUUCCCUGCUGAGAUAAAGCUGCUCACCUCGGCCUCCUUGUCACUGGCAGUGGAUACAAACAAGCUUAGACGAACACGUUCAGCAGCAAUGCGCUCCGCACCAUCAGUGGAACCAGCACAACACAACACAACACAAAACCGCGGCACGCUACCUCCGGUCAGCUUCAUCACAUCCCACAGCUCAUUAGUGGUCUUGCGGUGGCGGAGGUGGUAACAGUGGUGGUGACGGUGGGCUAUACUGA